CGGGAAGUGCGCUAGGCGGAGCUGUGGUCUAGCGAGAGUCCCUGUUUCCCCCUUUUCUUCCUUUUCACAGGAUCUCACCCCAUAAAACCCUGUCUUACCAUUCAAAUUGUCUGUAAGCCUGAAUUUUCGCGGCCCUAAGACAAAGAACCUUGUCUUUCACUGAAUUUAAAAAAAGUCCUGCAACAUUUUUGGUGCACAACGUGGGGGUUCGAGAAGCGAUUUUCUGGUCAGAUUAAGCCAAGUAAAAUGAACUUAACUCAAAGCCUUGAAGACAGAAAAACUUAUAAAAGUACAGCCUGCAGUAUUCUCAUUCAGAAAGAACAACAGGGCAAAAGACCUGAAGAAGGAGCAUACUGCGGUUUUCAGAAUACCAUCGAGGAGGAGAG
rnacentral:lncRNA from 10 species